rnacentral:rRNA from 1 species
UACGUAGGGGGCAAGCGUUGUCCGGAAUCAUUGGGCGUAAAGAGCGUGUAGGCGGCCAGACAGGUCCGUUGUGAAAACUCGAGGCUCAACCUCGAGAUGUCGAUGGAAACCGUCUGGCUAGAGUCCGGAAGAGGAGUGUGGAAUUCCUGGUGUAGCGGUGAAAUGCGCAGAUAUCAGGAAGAACACCUAUGGCGAAGGCAGCACUCUGGGACGGUACUGACGCUGAGACGCGAAAGCGUGGGGAGCGAACAGG